rnacentral:rRNA from 1 species
UGCAGUCGACGGUAACAGGCCGCAAGGUGCUGACGAGUGGCGAACGGGUGAGUAAUGCAUCGGAACGUGCCCAGUCGUGGGGGAUAACGCAGCGAAAGCUGCGCUAAUACCGCAUACGAUCUAUGGAUGAAAGCGGGGGACCAUAAGGCCUCGCGCGAUUGGAGCGGCCGAUGUCAGAUUAGGUAGUUGGUGGGGUAAAGGCUCACCAAGCCAACGAUCUGUAGCUGGUCUGAGAGGACGACCAGCCACACUGGGACUGAGACACGGCCCAGACUCCUACGGGAGGCAGCAGUGGGGAAUUUUGGACAAUGGGCGCAAGCCUGAUCCAGCAAUGCCGCGUGCAGGAAGAAGGCCUUCGGGUUGUAAACUGCUUUUGUACGGAACGAAACGGUCUGGGUUAAUACCUCGGGCUAAUGACGGUACCGUAAGAAUAAGCACCGGCUAACUACGUGCCAGCAGCCGCGGUAAUACGUAGGGUGCAAGCGUUAAUCGGAAUUACUGGGCGUAAAGCGUGCGCAGGCGGUUUUGUAAGACAGGCGUGAAAUCCCCGGGCUCAACCUGGGAAUGGCGCUUGUGACUGCAAGGCUGGAGUGCGGCAGAGGGGGAUGGAAUUCCGCGUGUAGCAGUGAAAUGCGUAGAUAUGCGGAGGA